AGAAAAAUGAAAUAUAUCAGAAGUGUGCCACACAGGCAGCCUCGUGAGGUCUGUUCCCUCCAGCUGAUGAACUGACAACUUCCUCCUUUCUCCAGCAAGGAGGGGCCUCAGAUCCUCUAAAAAGAGUGGAAAACUGUCAAAAAAAAGUGCUGAGCCUCAAUGAGCACUACACUGAAGAUGAAGUUUUCAUUUGUCUUGUUUCUUUUAUUUGGUAUGGUGGCGGGAGGGCAAAUGUAAUAAUUUUCUGUUAUUCAGUGCCUGCGAUGACAUAAUAAUAAAUGUUUAUUUUCCAGAUAUCCCUCAACUAAAAGGGCAGCAGAGGAUUGAGGAGUUUGAACACAUUCUGCUGAGACUUGCGUUCCCUUCCUUUUACAAUAGCUACAGCAAGUCCUGCUGUAAACUCUACCCAGGAGGAUGUUACAAGCUGCUGGACAGUACAGGAUACACCUGUGAUUUACUGAAAGGAAGAGUUACUAAAACUGAGAGUGACGGUUGGGUGGAAUUUAAAAUAUCGAAUGUGCAGCUUGUGGACGGAGGCUAUUACAGAUGUAUUGUGCUGGGAACUCAAAACCGAGUCUACAGUGAUUACUAUGUCGAGGUGUCUGAGAUUUCAGGUCACCAGUCUCAGCCUUCUCUGACAACAACCAUCAAAGUCCCCAACACCUUCACGACACUCCCAGACUCCACUGGGGUUGUUCUGGCACAGGACCACAGUGACAGUCCCGGAGUUCCCUGGAGUUUUGGCCUGCCGUUAGUUGUCAUUGUGUCCAUUACAGUGAUGAUUUUGAUCACUUCAGUUAUUGGUGUGGUUUGCUGCAGAGUCAAGGCAAAACGUAAACAGUCGGGUAAGCAUUGUUUAUGUGUAUAAACAGCAAACAGUGUGUUUAUGUGUAAAUCAAACCCAAGCAAUAUUGUUUUUCUUUGUAGACAAAUAUGGAGAAACUCUGUGUGAGUCACUGAAACAAGAGGCCCCGGUAAGUGCUAAACAGGGAACAUGUAGCCUCUAUGACUCACUGUCACUUGUUUUCAAAAGCAGAUUGAAUGUUUGUGCUUCAAACUUCCUCUACAACCUGCUGUCUCUUAACAAAGUUUGUCCCUCCCCAGGAAAUGAGUGGCAUAGUCUACACAACAGUGGACUUCAGAGCUCACCAGAAGCCGACAGAGGUGUAUGCAAACCUGAGGAUGCACAAAACACAAGCGGGAGCCCCUGACUCCACAUGGAGUGCAGAGCAUGAUGGUAUGGUGGAGUACUCAACACUGGCAAUCCACUAGUUAAUUCAUGUGAAGAUUUUGGUUUGUUUCUGUUUUUAAUGGGACAUAUUUAAUUUGUCACGCAACUGUGUUUCUAAAGGUCCUUUGCAGGGAUCUUUAGGCAGAAAUUAAAUAUAUUAUUCAUAGUUAUGUUUUCAUUUCAUAGUGUGUAAUCAAUCACCUGUAUAUAGGAAUCGUUUUCGUUAUUUUCAAAUGAACUGUUUUUGUUAGGGAGCAGGUCCUCUUAUAUGGAGUCCACCAUGUUGAACCGCAUUGUUUCUGCAGUAGCCCAGAAAGGACAAACCGAAGACUGGCUUUAGAUAGGGCCUUUAAAAUGUUUUGAGUUUCCAGGGCGUUGUAAUCUUCCACUACACCACUAGAUGCCACAAAAUCUUACACACUGGUCGUUUAAAGGGAACUCCAUUGAUCUUUCACACAGAUGUCAAUGUAUUAGUUAGAACAUGGUCAGCCUGUGUAGAGUUUGAAAUGCAAUAACCAAGGAGGAAGACUCUAACAAAAAGAUGCAUUUUGUUGCAUUAUGGGAAAUGUAGGCUCCAACAGUUUUAGAUCUUGACCCAUAUUGGACCAAAAUUAAGGACGUCUUCACUGCUGCUUUGGUUAUAAAUGUUCUUUUGUCUGUUUUGAAUAUGGUUGUGUAAUAUUAAAUCACUGAACUACUCCUUUGAGUGUACAUAUCAUGUGUUCUUCAUGUAAAUGAGAAGUUAUUGAAAUGAUAUUGGCAAUAAACACUGUUGUGAAAAACCUGUUAAAUUAAGAAAAUUGUGUUUGCUUCC
rnacentral:lncRNA from 1 species